GACGAACGCUGGCGGCGUGCUUAACACAUGCAAGUCGAACGGAAAGGCCCUGCUUUUGUGGGGUGCUCGAGUGGCGAACGGGUGAGUAACACGUGAGUAACCUGCCCUUGACUUUGGGAUAACUUCAGGAAACUGGGGCUAAUACCGGAUAGGAGCUCCUGCUGCAUGGUGGGGGUUGGAAAGUUUCGGCGGUUGGGGAUGGACUCGCGGCUUAUCAGCUUGUUGGUGGGGUAGUGGCUUACCAAGGCUUUGACGGGUGGCCGGCCUGGGAGGGUGACCGGCCACAUUGGGACUGAGAUACGGCCCAGACUCCUACGGGAGGCAGCAGUGGGGAAUAUUGCACAAUGGGCGGAAGCCUGAUGCAGCAACGCCGCGUGCGGGAUGACGGCCUUCGGGUUGUAAACCGCUUUCGCCUGUGACGAAGCGUGAGUGACGGUAAUGGGUAAAGAAGCACCGGCUAACAACGUG
rnacentral:rRNA from 1 species